UUCCGGUUGAUCCUGCCGGACCCCACUGCUAUCGGGGUGGGACUUAGGCAUGUUAGUUCUUCAAGCUAGACACGGCGGACGGCUCAGUAACACGUAGCUAACCUGCCCUCGGGACGGAGAUAACCCCGGGAAACUGGGGCUAAUACCCGAUAGGUGAGAAGGCCUGGAAUGGUUUCUCGCCUAAAGGCAAUAUCGCCCGAGGAUGGGGCUGCGGCCGAUCAGGUAGUUGGUGAGGUAACGGCUCACCAAGCCUUUAACCGGUACGGGCCGUGAGAGCGGGAGCCCGGAGAUGGGCACUGAGACAAGGACCUAGGCCCUACGGGGCGCAGCAGUCGCGAAAACUCCGCAAUGCGCGCAAGCGCGACGGGGCUACCCCGAGUGCCGUCCGCUGAGGAUGGCUUUUCUCUGGUGUAAUGAGCCGGAGGAAUAAGGGGAGGGCAAGACUGGUGUCAGCCGCCGCGGUAAUACCAGCUCCCCGAGUGGUGGGGAUGUUUAUUUGGCCUAAAGCGUCCGUAGCCUGCUCAGCAAGUCCUCCGUUAAAUCCAACGAUCUAAUCGUUGGGCUGCGGGGGAUACUGCAGGGCUAGGGGGCGGGAGAAGUCGACGGUACUCUUGGGGUAGGGGUGAAAUCCUAUAAUCCCAGGAGGACAACCAGUGGCGAAGGCGGUCGGCUAGAACGCGCCCGACGGUGAGGGACGAAAGCGUGGGGAGCGAUCCGGAUUAGAUACCCGGGUAGUCCACGCCGUAAACGAUGCAGGCUAGGUGUUGGCGUGACUACGGGUCACGCUAGUGCCGCAGGGAAGCCGUUAAGCCUGCCGCCUGGGAAGUACGGUCGCAAGACUGAAACUUAAAGGAAUUGGCGGGGGAGCACCACAAGGGGUGAAGCUUGCGGUUCAAUUGGAUUCAACGCCGGA
rnacentral:rRNA from 1 species